GGACACAAAUUCAUGUAACACCCCAGAUCCACGUUCUCACCGCUGCUCACCGUAUCAUACAAUUUGCUAUCUCUGCACCCUCUCGGGGCCAUUCUCUGUUUCCUUCUCUUUAGAUUUAAAAAUCAAAACCUUGCGGGUGCAUGAUUCUUAACGAUCUCCAAUCUUCAUCACUUGUUGAGUUCUCAUUCUUUUUCAUUACCCUUCUCUCUUCAAAUCCCACUUUGUUUCUUUUCUCAUGAUUGCGUUAUUGUCCGUACAGUUUCUAAUACGACCUCCUGGGUUUACCGCAUUCGGAAGGUAACAAUUGGGCUCCCUUCGCUUUUUUGAGUAUGGCGAAUUUAAGAUGCGUUUGGGUUUUCUCGCUUCUUCUUUGCGUUUUCGCAUCUGGAUCGCUCUCAAUCGAGGAUUUUCACCAAGCGUUUCCCAUUGUGGAACCUGAUCCUGGUCACACAAAACUUCGUCUUUCAAGUGAAGGCUUGGAAGCCAUCAGAAGAAUAACAACGCCGAUUGCAGCCGUUGCUGUAAUUGGUCCGUACCGCUCUGGCAAAUCUUUUCUGCUUAAUCAGCUUCUUUCCCUUUCUUGUAAUGCAGGAUUUGGUGUUGGGCACAUGCGUGACACAAAAACAAAAGGAAUUUGGGUUUGGGGCACUCCACUGGAGAUGGAUAUUGAUGGCAUGAAAACUUCUGUAUUUUACCUUGAUACUGAAGGAUUCGAAAGUAUUGGGAAGUCAAAUGUGUAUGAUGACCGGAUUUUUGCUCUGGCUACCAUAAUGAGUUCUGUUCUAAUUUAUAACCUGCCUGAGACGAUCCGGGAAGCUGAUAUAUCUAGGCUGUCAUUUGCUGUUGAGCUUGCUGAAGAAUUCUAUGGAAGUAGAGUGAAGGGACAAGAUGUUGCUUUUGAGCCAGCAAAGCUUUUGUGGCUUAUCCAGCGUGAUUUUUUGCAAGGGAAAUCUGUGCAAGAAAUGGUGCAUGAAGCUCUUCAACAUGUUCCUAAUGAUAAUGGGGACAAAAAUAUUGAUCAGGUUAACCAGAUCCGGGACUCCUUGGCUGUGAUGGGUGAUGACAGCACAGCCUUUAGCUUACCACAACCUCAUCUGAUGCGAACAAAGCUCUGUGAUAUGAAUGAUGAUGAGCUUGACCCAGCAUAUGUUAGAAAGAGAGAUCAAUUGAAAAAGCUCGUUGCUAGUGUUAUUCGUCCAAAAAUUGUUCAGGGCAAGUUUCUGAAUGGCAAGGAGUUUGUAGCAUUCCUGGAACAGAUACUUGAAGCCUUGAAUAAAGGGGAGAUUCCAUCAACAGGCUCUCUUUUGGAGGUUUUCAACAAGGGUGUUCUUGAGCGAUGUUUGAAGCUAUAUAAUGAAAGGAUGGCAAAAUUAAACUUACCUCUAUCAGCUCAAACUUUGCAAGAUGCACAUGAAAAUUCUAAAACAGAAGUAAUGAAAGUUUUCAAUGAACAGCAUUUCGGUCAUCAUCAUGCAAAGAAAUCUGUAAUGCAAUUGGAUGAAGAGAUACGAGAGGCAUAUAAGAAUUUCAUUUUGUCAAAUGAAUAUCAAUCCUCAAAGCUUUGCGAGGCACUAUAUUCCAGAUGUGAGGACAAGAUGGACCAGCUUCAAGUUCUCAAACUUCCAUCCAUGGCCAAAUUUAAUGCGGGUUUCCUGCAAUGCAACCAAAGUUUUGAUCGAGAGUGUGUUGGACCUUCUAAAGCAAUAUACGAGCAACGCAUGACGAAGAUGUUGGGGAAGUCACGAUCUCUGUUUAUCAAGGAAUACAAUCAGAGGCUUUUCAACUGGCUGGUGGCCUUCUCCCUUGUCAUGGUUGUGGUGGGACGGUUUAUUAUUAAGUUUAUUUUGAUCGAAAUGGGAGCAUGGAUACUAUUUAUCUUCUUAGAGACAUACACAAGGUUGUUUUGGUCAGCGGAGUCUCUUUAUUACAACCCAGUUUGGCACUUCAUCGUUGCCACUUGGGAAACGCUUGUCUACAGCCCAUUAAUUGAUUUGGACAGAUGGGCAGUUCCGAUCUGUUUUAUGUUAGCCAUACUUCUACUUUAUUGGCGGUGUUAUGGGAAACGGAAACAUGGUUCAUGUGGACUUUUGCCUCUCUACAACACUAGUAAAGGUGUCUCAAAUCGGCCAAGAUCAGAUUAAAGGGAAACAGAAUUUGACUGGGAGGCACAGUGUAGGCGAGCUUUUCUCAUUUUAGGAUCAAUUUCUCUGUACACAAUAGAAAGUCAUUGUAGUAUCAUGCCUACUUGCUGAGGAAAAACAAAAAUGAUAAGGGAAACUGCAGUAAGGGUCAUCAUCAGUGAUCUCAUAAAAUCUGAGAGCAGCACGUUUAAAGUGCUGUUGCAGAUCUUUCAGCUUAACAGAGCGGCAUUUCAGUUUGAAGAACUCUUCGCCGUGUUUGUAGACAUGAUUACGGAUAUAACCAACAAAGUCAUGUAAAAUGUACCUGAAGAAGGUCUCAAGGGUUUCUGAAUUCAGCAUUUGGAUGUAUGGUUGAUAAAUAAAACAUUAAAACAUGAUUUUGUAAGAUAAAAAUAUUAUCAACUUAAAUUAAUUGUAAUUAA